rnacentral:rRNA from 1 species
GACGAACGCUGGCGGCGUGCUUAACACAUGCAAGUCGAACGGAAAGGCCUCGUUCUUGUGGUACGCUAGUGUGGCACGGGGGUGUGACACGUGAGUAACCUCCGCUUUAGUUUUUGGUAACUUCACGGAACUGUGGCGAAUACACGGGAUGAGCUCUUGCUCCGCGUGGGGGGGGGGGGAGUGUCGGGGGUGGGGGGUGUACACGCGGCGGAUCUGCUUGUUGGUGGGGGGUUGGCUUACCAAGGCUUUGUCGGGGGGCGGGCCUGGGAGGGGGACCGCCAACAUGGGGACUGGGAUACGGCCCAGACUCCAACGGGAGGAAGCAGGGGGGAAUAUUGCACAAUGGGCGGAAGCCGGAUGCAGCAACGCCGCGUGCGGGAUGACGGCCUUCGGGUUGUAAACCGCUUCCGCCAUGAACGAGCCUUGUGUGACGGUAGUGGGUAAAGAAGCACCGGCUAACUACGUG